rnacentral:rRNA from 1 species
GUGAGGAAUAUUGGACAAUGGGCGCAAGCCUGAUCCAGCCAUGCCGCGUGCAGGAAGACGCAUCUAUGGUGUGUAAACUGCUUUUGUACGGGAAGAAACACUCCCUCGUGAGGGAGCUUGACGGUACCGUAAGAAUAAGGAUCGGCUAACUCCGUGCCAGCAGCCGCGGUAAUACGGGAGAUCCAAGCGUUAUCCGGAAUCAUUGGGUUUAAAGGGUCCGUAGGCGGUUUAAUAAGUCAGUGGUGAAAGCCCAUCGCUCAACGAUGGAACGGCCAUUGAUACUGUUAGACUUGAAUUACAAGGAAGUAACUAGAAUAUGUAGUGUAGCGGUGAAAUGCUUAGAUAUUACAUGGAAUACCAAUUGCGAAGGCAGGUUACUACUUGUGGAUUGACGCUGAUGGACGAAAGCGUGGGGAGCGAACAGGAUUAGAAACCCUUGUGUCC